UGGGGAAUUUUGGACAAUGGGCGAAAGCCUGAUCCAGCAAUGCCGCGUGUGUGAAGAAGGCCUUCGGGUUGUAAAGCACUUUUGUCCGGAAAGAAAUCCUUGGCUCUAAUACAGUCGGGGGAUGACGGUACCGGAAGAAUAAGCACCGGCUAACUACGUGCCAGCAGCCGCGGUAAUACGUAGGGUGCAAGCGUUAAUCGGAAUUACUGGGCGUAAAGCGUGCGCAGGCGGUUUGCUAAGACCGAUGUGAAAUCCCCGGGCUCAACCUGGGAACUGCAUUGGUGACUGGCAGGCUAGAGUAUGGCAGAGGGGGGUAGAAUUCCACGUGUAGCAGUGAAAUGCGUAGAGAUGUGGAGGAAUACCGAUGGCGAAGGCAGCCCCCUGGGCCAAUACUGACGCUCAUGCACGAAAGCGUGGGGAGCAAACAGGAUUAGAUACCCUGGUAGUCCACGCCCUAAACGAUGUCAACUAGUUGUUGGGGAUUCAUUUCCUUAGUAACGUAGCUAACGCGUGAAGUUGACCGCCUGGGGAGUACGUCGCAAGAUUAAAAC
rnacentral:rRNA from 1 species